ACGGGUGAGUAACACGUGGGAACGUACCUUUAGGUUCGGAACAACACAGGGAAACUUGUGCUAAUACCGAAUGUGCCCUUCGGGGGAAAGAUUUAUCGCCUUUAGAGCGGCCCGCGUUAGAUUAGCUAGUUGGUGGGGUAAUGGCCCACCAAGGCUCCGAUCUAUAGCUGGUCUGAGAGGAUGAUCAGCCACAUUGGGACUGAGACACGGCCCAAACUCCUACGGGAGGCAGCAGUGGGGAAUCUUGCGCAAUGGGCGAAAGCCUGACGCAGCCAUGCCGCGUGAAUGAUGAAGGUCUUAGGAUUGUAAAAUUCUUUUAGCAGGGACGAUAAUGACGGUACCUGCAGAAAAAGCCCCGGCUAACUUCGUGCCAGCAGCCGCGGUAAUACGAAGGGGGCUAGCGUUGCUCGGAAUUACUGGGCGUAAAGGGAGCGUAGGCGGGUUAUCAAGUUGGAGGUGAAAGCCCAGGGCUCAACCUUGGAAUUGCCUUCAAAACUGAUAACCUAGAGGAUGAUAGAGGUAAGUGGAACUCCGAGUGUAGAGGUGAAAUUCGUAGA
rnacentral:rRNA from 1 species